AGGAUGAACGCUGGCGGCGUGCUUAACACAUGCAAGUCGAACGGAGUUUUUAAACGGAAGUUUUCGGAUGGAAGUUUAGAAACUUAGUGGCGGACGGGUGAGUAACGCGUGGGUAACCUGCCUCAUACAGGGGGAUAACAGUUAGAAAUGACUGCUAACACCGCAUAAUAUAGCGAAACCGCAUGAUUUUUGCUAUCAAAUAUUUAUAGGUAUGAGAUGGGCCCGCGUCUGAUUAGCUAGUUGGUGGGGUAAAAGCCUACCAAGGCGACGAUCAGUAGCCGGCUUGAGAGAGUGACCGGCCACAUUGGGACUGAGACACGGCCCAAACUCCUACGGGAGGCAGCAGUGGGGAAUAUUGGACAAUGGGGGAAACCCUGAUCCAGCGACGCCGCCGUGAGUGAAGAAGUAUUUCAGUAUGUAAAGCUCUAUCAGCAGGGAAGAUAAUGACAGUACCUGACUAAGAAGCCCCGGCUAACUACGUGCCAGCAGCAGC
rnacentral:rRNA from 1 species